rnacentral:rRNA from 1 species
AGCGAACGCUGGCGGCAGGCCUAACACAUGCAAGUCGAGCGCCCCGCAAGGGGAGCGGCAGACGGGAGAGUAACACGUGGGAACGUACCCUUCGGUUCGGAACAACCCAGGGAAACUUGGGCUAAUACCGGAUACGUCCGAAAGGAGAAAGAUUUAUCGCCGAGGGAUCGGCCCGCGUCUGAUUAGCUGGUUGGUGGGGUAACGGCCCACCAAGGCGACGAUCAGUAGCUGGUCUGAGAGGAUGAUCAGCCUCACUGGGACUGAGACACGGCCCAGACUCCUACGGGAGGCAGCAGUGGGGAAUAUUGGACAAUGGGCGCAAGCCUGAUCCAGCCAUGCCGCGUGGGUGAUGAAGGCCCUAGGGUUGUAAAGCCCUUUCGGCGGGGAAGAUAAUGACGGUACCCUCAGAAGAAGCCCCGGCUAACUUCGUGCCAGCCGCCGCCGUAACAC